rnacentral:rRNA from 1 species
CGACCCCAGAUCAGGAGGGAUUACCCGGUCAGUUUAAGACUAUCAAUAAACGGAGGAAAAUAAACUUACAAGGAUUCCCUCAGAAACGACAAGCAAACCAAGAAUAGCCAACCUUAGAAUUGAGCGGCUUCAUCAUCCGAAUUAUAGUCUGGAGAAGCUUCCUCAGUGGCAGACCGGCCCAAGUCCCCUAAAAGGGGUGCUAGAGAGGGUGAGAGCCCCAUUGUGCUCGGACCUUAUCGCACCACGAGGCGCUAUCUAUGAGUUGGGUUGUUUGGGAAUGCAGCCCAAAUCGGGCGAUGAAUUCCGCCCAAGGCUAAAUACGAGCGAGAGGCCGAUAAUGAACAAGUACCGUGAGGUAAAGAUGAAACCGACUUUGAAGAAAGAGUCAAAGAGUGCUUGAAAUUAUCGGGAGGGAAGCGGAAAAGAGACGGUGAUAUGCCCCAGUCGGAUGUGGAACGGAGAUGAGCUGGUUCGUCGUUCGACUCAGGGUGUGGACCAACAUGGAUUGGGGGAGGCCAAAGCCCGAGCUCUUGGUACGCUCGUGGAAUGUCGUCUCCUCAAUUGUGGCAGGCAGUGCGUGCCUCCGAUGUGCUUCAACAUCUGCGCACUUCGGAUGCUGGCCUGUGGGCUCCCCAUUCAACCCAUCUUGAAACACAGACCAAGGAUUCUGACAUGUGUGCGAUUCAAUGUUCGAGUAAACCCAUAAGACGCAAGGAAGAUGAUUGGUGGGAUCCCCCUGAGGGGUGCAUCGCCGACUGACCUUGAUAUUCUGAGAAUGGUUCUAGUGUGAGCAUACUUAUCGAGACCCAAAAGAUGGUGAACUACGCCUGAGCAGGGCGAAGCCAUAUGAAACUUUGGUGGAGGCCCACAGCGAUACUAACGUGCAAAUCAUUCAUCUGACUUGCGUGCACCACAUGCUAAGUGCACGGAUUCACCAAUGAACCAUGGGCAAAAUGGCCACUAAGGACUAUGUGCUUGGCACCCGUAUGCCCGUGCACCCACCGUGAGCACACUAUGUAUUCGACACUCGCGCACUACAACACCAAUAAAACACCAUGCCACAUGCCCCAAAAUGGAUCGGCGACCCCCGCACCAUGCAAAAAUAAAAGGAACAUAAACAUGUGAGGGUUCAUAACUAGUAACUUCGACACUUACAAAAUAAAUGCUUCCACCAAGGUUCGUUCAUCCUAAUACUUUUGUAACGUUCAUCCAUCUUCCUCUCCGUUGCAUACUCCUUUCUUACAUACACGUUCAAAGUGUUUUUUUAAAUGACGUUUCACUAAUUUAAUGCACAUUUUUCAAUUCCGAUGCUGCUUAUACUUCAUUUCAUUGCAUGAAUAUGUACUCUUUAAUCGGUUUAAAUGUUACCUUAUAUGUUGGGAGGUUCCCAUUUUAUUUUUAUAUUAUUUAUUUAAUAUCUUUAAAUUUUAAUAUUUUAUAUAGUUACUUUAUAUGUACAAUUACGCAUUUAUUUGUUGGAAUAAGGUUACUUCAUGCGUUGAGAAUAUUUUUCUAAUAUUUCUAUAUUUUAAAAUAUAUUUCUUAUUUUUUUAUUUGUUUUGGAAAUCUUCAUAAAUAAUAUUUGAAAAAAAUAUUUUCUUAAUGAAAAUUAUCAUUUACAAAUUAUGUGAGGCUCUUAUGAGUGCAUUAGAUCGGUCGUACGUUAAAAUGUACAGUUCUGAGUUGUACAUGUCCAGUAUGAUUCUCUGAAAAAUAAUGACUACUCCUGACACUUGGAUUUUUUUAAACAUAUAAAAUAGGGUAGAGGUGUUGAAAUCACUUUGAGAUGUCUGUCGCUAGUUGGCAUAAGCGCUCAUUGGGCAAAUUGACGUGCAGUAUGGACAACAUGGUAGCAUGCAUGGCUAGUUCGUGCGAGCUGCUGAUGCCCUUAAAAACACAUCGAUGGCACUUCAUUGUGCGUUCCUGUUGGAUAUCGCUAGCGUUUUCCACGAUGGGGUUGUUUGCAUUUGAUUUUAGAUGAUGCAGUGCUUUUGUACGUUCAAUGAGUUCUAAAAGCUGCUCCAGGCGUAUGCUCUAGGAAAGUAACUACAAAUGGCACAUCAAAUCAGCCAUAGUUUAUUUGAUGGUAUCUACGACUUGGACAACCGCAGUAAUUCUAGAACUUAUAUGUGCUAUAACAUAUGGGGCUGUUGGAGUUUGAUUUUGAAUGAGGUGGUUCUUUUAUGCAUGUGGUGAGUUCUAGAAAUUGCAAUAGGGGCCAUCUCUUGGCGCUGCAUACAUGUGGCCAAGUUGAAUCUGCAUCGAGCACCAACGACGGAUAUAGAGGCGCCCAUGCACAAGCCUCAAUGCAUCUUCAUUACCUUUGCUCCCUCCAAGGGUGGGAUAUCGCAUCAAGUGGGAAUUAUUUUAGCCUUGAAAUAUUUGCAUAGGAUGCAGCGCACAACAUCUAUUGCUAUGCAUUGGGGUCAAUGCUGGGCAUGCAUCGAUAGAGCAUUUGGAUGCACAGGACGUGAAUUAUGUUCGGCAUGUGCAGUUAAGCUGGAUCCCUGCUUAGCAAUAAUGUCGUGACUCGCAUAACAUCUCAUUCAUGAGGCACACAUGAUUUAGGCUCGCUCUAAGUUAGUUUCUUGUGUUGCAUUCCUAACACCCAAGCAUUAUCAAGUUUAAUCCAUUGUCUUUUACCUUUCGCAUUUCAUGCGCAGGGUGAAUCAAAAGGCCUCCCUCGUGUCCUAUGACUUUCUUUCUUUGUCGUGAAAUGUUGUGGUUCAUGAGUGACGGAUGGAAUUAUCAAAUAUGUUAGAUGCAGUAGGCAUGGAUCUUCAUUAGCUUCUAUGUUCUCGACAAACCUUGAAAAGUGCAUCAGGCGACUAACGAACCCUGGCGUGAAAAGUGCCAAGGAUUACUUAAAUUGAUAGCCUACCCCUCGCGCUCCAUUUGCAGCGUGCGUCGGGGGGAUGUGUGCUUCUCUUAUAAAUAAAAAUAACUCUCAACAAUGGAUGUCUAGGCUCUCACAUUGAUGAAGAAUGUAGCAAAAUACGAUACUUGGUGUGAAUUGCAGAAUCCCAUGAACCAUCAAGUCUUUGAACGCAAGUUACGCCCAAAGCCAUUAGACCGAUGGCACAUCUGCCUGGACGUCACACAUCGCGUCACCCCCUCGUAUUGUACCUUAAUCAUGGGGCGCGCUAUCAUUACGGUGCGGAUAUUGGCCUCUCAUGCACCUCGAGCUCGCGGCUGGCCUAAAUAUGAGUCUGCGUCGAUGGCCGUCACAUCAAGUGGUGGUUCUAACUUAACUCUCUUUGCUGUCACGGCUACUGCUCGUCGUGCAUUCGGACACCCGAACCCUACCGCUCUUAGGCGCUCCAACCGCGAACCCAGGUCGGCAACUGUACAUUUCGAACGCUGGCCUGUAGGCUCCCCAUUAAACCCAUCUUGAAACAUAGACCAAGGAGUCUGACUUGUGUAUGGAUAAAUGGUUGAGUAAACCCAUAAGGCGUAAGGAAUCUGAUUGGUGGGAUCCUUCUGAGGGGUGCACCGCCUACCGACCUUGAUCUUCUGAGAAGGGUUCAAGUGUGAGCAUACCUAUCGGGACCCGAAAAGUGGUGAACUAUGAUUGAGUGAGGCGAAGCCAUAGAAAACUCUGGUAGAGGCCCGCAGCGAUACUGACGUGCAAAUCGUUCGUCUGACUUGGGUAUAGGGGUGAAAGACUAAUCGAAAUGUCUAGUAGCUGGUUCCCUCCGAAGUUUCCCUCAUGAUAGCUGGAACUCAUGAGCGAUUUCUAUCGGGGAAAGCUAAUGAUUAGAGGCCUCAGGGGCGCAAUGCCCUUGACCUAUUCUCAAACUUUAAAUAGGUAGGACAGCGCGGCUGCUUUGCUGAGCCACGCCACAGAAUCAAGAGCUCUAAGUGGGACAUUUUUGGUAAGCAGAACUGGUGAUAUGGGAUGAACCGAAAGUCAGGUUAUGGUGCCAAACUGCACGUUAACCUAGAUCCCACAAAAGGUGUUGGUCGAUUAAGACAGCAGGAUGAUGGUCAUAGAAGUCGAAAUCCACUAAAGAAUGUGUAACAACUCACCUUCCGAAUCAACUAACCCUAAAAAUGAAUGGCUCUUAAGCGCGCGACCUACACCCGGUCGUUGGGGAAAGUUCUAAGCCUCGAUGAGUAGGAGGGCAUGGUGGUCGCUGCAAUACCUUGGGCGCGAUCCUGGGCAGAGCGGCCGUCGGUGUAAAUCUUGGUGGUAGUAGAAAAUAUUCAAAUGAGAACUUUGAAGGCUAAAGAGGAGAGAGGUUCCAUGUGAACGACACUUGCACAUGGGUUAGUCGAUCCUAAAGGUCGGGGAAACCCCGAUAGUAGCGCAUUUUGUGCGUACUCCAAAAGGGAAUUGGGUUACAAUUCCUGAAUCGAGAUAUGGCGGUUGACGUCAACAUUACGAAGUCUGGAUACGUCAGUAGGAGGCUUGGGAAGAUUUAUUUUUUUUGUUUAAUAGCCUGCCUACUCUAGAAUCGGUCAGCCAGAGGUAGGGUCCAGAGGCUGGAAGAGCACCACACGCUGCAUGGUGUCCGAUGCUCUCCCGACGGCCCUUAAAAAUAUGAAGGACCAAAUUCCAUCCACUCCCGGUCGCACUCUUAAUCGCAUCAGGUCUCCAAGGUGAACAACCUCUAGUCGAUGGAACAAUGUAGGCAAGGAAAGUCGGUAAAAUGGAUCUGUAACUUCGGGAAGAGGAUUGACUCUGAGGGCUGGGCACGAGGGUCCCAGUCUCGAACCCAUUGGUUGUUGGUGUAUUGCACGAGAUGCUCCCGCAGCAAGAGCGGGUUGCCGCAUGCCGACCUGGGGACAUACUGGGAAUGGUUCUUUCGAGGGCCUUCCCCGCGCGUUAAACAACCAACUCAGAACUGGUACGAACAAGCGGAAUCCGACUGUUUAACUAAAACAAAGCAUUGCGAUAGUCCCAAUGGAUGUUCAUGCAAUGUGAUAUCUGCCCAGUGCUCUAAUUGUCAAAGUGAAGAAAUUUAAGCAAGCGCAGGUAAACAGCGGGAGUAACUAUGACUCUCUUAAGGUAGCCAAAUGCCUCGUCAUCUAAUUAAUGACGCACAUGAAUGGAUUAACGAGAUUCCCACUAUCGUUGUCUACUAUUCUUCCAAACCACAGCCAAGGGAACGCGCUUGGGAAAGUCAGUGGGGAAAGAAGACCCUGUUGAGCUUGAAUCUAGUCCGACUUUAUGAAAUGACAUGAGAGGUGUAGUAUAAGUGGGAGCCGAAAGGCGAAAGUGAAAUACCACCACUUUUAACGUUAGUUUACUUAUUCUGUGAAUUGGAAGCGGGGAACUGCCCCUCUUUUUGGACCCAAGGCUUGCUCUGCGGGCCGAUCCGGGCGGAAGACAUUGUCAAGUGGGGAGUUUGGCUGGGGCGGCACAUCUGUUAAAAGAUAAAGUAGGUGUCCGAAGAUGAUCUCAACAAGAAUAGAAAUCUCAUGUGGAAUAAAGGUAAAAGCUCAUUUGAUUCUGAUUUCUAGUACGAAUACGAUCCAUGAAAGCAUGGCCUAACGAUCCUUUAGACCUUUAAAAUUCAAAGCUAUAGGUGUCGAAAAAGUUACCACUAGGAUAACUGGUUUGUGGCAGCAAAGCAUUCAUAGAGAUGUUGCUUUCUGAUGCUUCAAUGUUGACUGUUCCUAUCAUUGUGAAGUAGAAUUCACCAUGUGUUGGAUUGUUCACCGACCAAAAGGGAACGUGAUAUGAGUUUAGACCAUUGUAAGACAGAUUAGUUUUACCCUACUGAUGAAAGUGUCGCAAUAGUAAUUCAACCUAGUACGAGAGGAACCGUUGAUUAUCAUAAUUGGUCAUCGUAUUUGGUUAAAAAGCCAGUGGAACGAAGCUAACAUGUGCUGGAUUAUGACUGAAUUCCUCUAAGUCAAAAUCCAGGCUAGAAGCAAUGCAUGUGCCCACCGCCUACUUACUGACCCAUAGUAGGGGCCUCAGCCCCUAAGGGCACGUGUCAUUGGCUAAGCCACCGCGGCCAAAGGGUUGCGGUGGCCUAUCUGAAGUACAAUUUCCAUCGAGCAGUGAGUAGAAUCCUGUGCAGAGAACUUAAAUACGCAAUGGGGUAUUGUAAGUGGCAGAGUGGUCUUGUUGCCAUGAUCCACUGAGAUUCAGCCCUUUGUCGCUCCGGUUCGU